rnacentral:rRNA from 1 species
AGUGAACGCUGGCGGUAGGCCUAACACAUGCCAGUCGAACGGCAGCACAGUAAGAGCUUGCUCUUACGGGUGGCGAGUGGCGGACGGGUGAGGAAUACAUCGGAAUCUACUUUUUCGUGGGGGAUAACGUAGGGAAACUUACGCUAAUACCGCAUACGACCUACGGGUGAAAGCAGGGGAUCUUCGGACCUUGCGCGAUUGAAUGAGCCGAUGUCGGAUUAGCUAGUCGGCGGGGUAAGGGCCCACCAAGGCGACGAUCCGUAGCUGGUCUGAGAGGAUGAUCAGCCACACUGGAACUGAGACACGGUCCAGACUCCUACGGGAGGCAGCAGUGGGGAAUAUUGGACAAUGGGCGCAAGCCUGAUCCAGCCAUACCGCGUGGGUGAAGAAGGCCUUCGGGUUGUAAAGCCCUUUUGUUGGGAAAGAAAAGCAGCAGGUUAAUACCCCGCUGUUCUGACGGUACCCAAAGAAUAAGCACCGGCUAACUUCGUG